AUGACCAGACUAGCCAUGCACGUCUAAGUACAAACUAAAUGAUGGUGAAACUGCAAAUGGCUCAUUACAACGGUUAUGAUGUACCCGGGAGUUCCGAUGGAUAUUUCCAGUAACACUAGAACUAAUACAUGUCCCUGCGUUUAUUAGUUUCGCGCAGUCCGUCGCUGAGUCAUGGUAAACAGUUGAUCGACUCGACGUCCCGGAACAGUUUCCGCCCCAUCAGCUUCGAUGGUUGGGUAUUGGCCUACCAUUGCAACAACGGGUAACGAGGAAUUAGGGUUUGAUUUCGGAGAGGGAGCCUGAGAAACGGCUACCACAUCUACGGAUGGCAGCAGGCGCGCAAAUUACCCAAUGCAGACACUGUGAGGUAGUGACGAGAAAUAAUAAAGCGGGACUUCUGUUUCGCUAUUAUAAUGAGGAAUAACCAAAGGUCAUUCCGAUUAGCAACUGAUGGGAAAGUCUGGUGCCAGCAGCCGCGGUAAUACCAGCGUCAGUAGCAU
rnacentral:rRNA from 1 species